rnacentral:rRNA from 1 species
GAAACGGGUUAAUAUUCCCGUACUUGGUGUUACUGCGAAGGGGGGACGGAGAAGGCUAUGUUGGCCGGGCGACGGUUGUCCCGGUUUAAGCGUGUAGGUGUGUGUUCCAGGUAAAUCCGGUUCACUUUAACACUGAGGCGUGACGACGAGGCACUACGGUGCUGAAGCAACAAAUGCCCUGCUUCCAGGAAAAGCCUCUAAGCAUCAGGUAACAUCAAAUCGUACCCCAAACCGACACAGGUGGUCAGGUAGAGAAUACCAAGGCGCUUGAGAGAACUCGGGUGAAGGAACUAGGCAAAAUGGUGCCGUAACUUCGGGAGAAGGCACGCUGACACGUAGGUGAAGUGAUUUACUCAUGGAGCUGAAGUCAGUCGAAGAUACCAGCUGGCUGCAACUGUUUAUUAAAAACACAGCACUGUGCAAACACGAAAGUGGACGUAUACGGUGUGACGCCUGCCCGGUGCCGGAAGGUUAAUUGAUGGGGUCAGCGCAAGCGAAGCUCCUGAUCGAAGCCCCGGUAAACGGCGGCCGUAACUAUAACGGUCCUAAGGUAGCGAAAUUCCUUGUCGGGUAAGUUCCGACCUGCACGAAUGGCGUAAUGAUGGCCAGGCUGUCUCCACCCGAGACUCAGUGAAAUUGAACUCGCUGUGAAGAUGCAGUGUACCCGCGGCAAGACGGAAAGACCCCGUGAACCUUUACUAUAGCUUGACACUGAACAUUGAGCCUUGAUGUGUAGGAUAGGUGGGAGGCUUUGAAGUGUGGACGCCAGUCUGCAUGGAGCCGACCUUGAAAUACCACCCUUUAAUGUUUGAUGUUCUAACGUGGACCCGUUACCCGGGUUGCGGACAGUGUCUGGUGGGUAGUUUGACUGGGGCGGUCUCCUCCUAAAGAGUAACGGAGGAGCACGAAGGUUGGCUAAUCCUGGUCGGACAUCAGGAGGUUAGUGCAAUGGCAUAAGCCAGCUUGACUGCGAGCGUGACGGCGCGAGCAGGUGCGAAAGCAGGUCAUAGUGAUCCGGUGGUUCUGAAUGGAAGGGCCAUCGCUCAACGGAUAAAAGGUACUCCGGGGAUAACAGGCUGAUACCGCCCAAGAGUUCAUAUCGACGGCGGUGUUUGGCACCUCGAUGUCGGCUCAUCACAUCCUGGGGCUGAAGUAGGUCCCAAGGGUAUGGCUGUUCGCCAUUUAAAGUGGUACGCGAGCUGGGUUUAGAACGUCGUGAGACAGUUCGGUCCCUAUCUGCCGUGGGCGCUGGAGAACUGAGGGGGGCUGCUCCUAGUACGAGAGGACCGGAGUGGACGCAUCACUGGUGUUCGGGUUGUCAUGCCAAUGGCACUGCCCGGUAGCUAAAUGCGGAAGAGAUAAGUGCUGAAAGCAUCUAAGCACGAAACUUGCCCCGA